UUUGGUCAUUAACUCCAAAGUUAGUUGAUUGGAGCCGGCUAGAAAUUGUCUAACCUUCUAAAUUAUUGUAGUUUUGAAGAUUGAAAAAAACAGAGGAGGACAGAAAGGGCUUAGAGAGUUUUAGAUGAAUCCCAAUAAAUAAGUGAAACCAUGUUGAGCUUGAAUAGCCAUGUUAACAUGUCAGUUCUAUGUCAACUCAAUAUAGACACAUCACCGCUAAUGGAAUGAUUCCAGCCCUUUAAUGCAACUGCCACCAGUUAUAAAUUCUAUUACAACUAAUAGAAUUGAAAGUCUAGGAUUUAUAGGACUAUUUGCCCAAAAAGACAAUUUAGAGCCUCAUCAUUAUACUAGCAACGUUUAAAUCAAAAUAAUUCCUAAAUCUACUCUUCCUUGGAUGCGUCAUUUCUUAUCAUGGGAUUCCUAAUCCAAGUACUAGUAAGACUGGUUAUGGUACUAUAAAUACUUAUGUCAUCUAGACAAUUGAGAAUUAAUAGAAUGAGAGUUUAUUUCUUUUUCCCCUUUAAGUGUUCUUUGUGUUCUACAUCAAAGGGAAGCUAGCAGGGGCAUCAGGUAAGUAUUAUUGAUACUUAUCAAGUAGUACUUCUCACCUUCCCGCAAGGUUGAUCAUUUU
rnacentral:misc_RNA from 1 species